AGUGAACGCUGGCGGUAGGCCUAACACAUGCAAGUCGAACGGCAGCACAGUAAGAGCUUGCUCUUACGGGUGGCGAGUGGCGGACGGGUGAGGAAUACAUCGGAAUCUACUUUUUCGUGGGGGAUAACGUAGGGAAACUUACGCUAAUACCGCAUACGACCUACGGGUGAAAGCAGGGGAUCUUCGGACCUUGCGCGAUUGAAUGAGUCGAUGUCGGAUUAGCUAGUUGGCGGGGUAAAGGCCCACCAAGGCGACGAUCCGUAGCUGGUCUGAGAGGAUGAUCAGCCACACUGGAACUGAGACACGGUCCAGACCCCUACGGGAGGCAGCAGUGGGGAAUAUUGGACAAUGGGCGCAAGCCUGAUCCAGCCAUACCGCGUGGGUGAAGAAGGCCUUCGGGUUGUAAAGCCCUUUUGUUGGGAAAGAAAAGCAGCAGGUUAAUACCCCGCUGUUCUGACGGUACCCAAAGAAUAAGCACCGGCUAACUUCGUG
rnacentral:rRNA from 1 species